AACGAACGCUGGCGGCAUGCCUAACACAUGCAAGUCGAACGAGACCUUCGGGACUAGUGGCGUACGGGUGCGUAACGCGUGGGAACCUGCCCUUAGGUUCGGAAUAACUCGCCUAAAUGGGUGCUAAUACCGGAGAAUGUCUGCGGACCAAAGAUUUAUCGCCUUUGGAUGGGCCCGCGUUGGAUUAGCUAGUUGGUAGGGUAAAAGCCUACCAAGGCGACGAUCGAUAGCUGGUCUGAGAGGAUGAUCAGCCACACUGGGACUGAGACACGGCCCAAACUCCUACGGGAGGCAGCAGUGGGGAAUAUUGCACAAUGGACGAAAGCCUGAUCCAGCAAUGCCGCGUGAGUGAUGAAGGCCUUAGGGUUGUAAAGCUCUUUUACCCGGGAUGAUAAUGACAGUACCGGGAGAAUAAGCUCCGGCUAACUACGUG
rnacentral:rRNA from 1 species